rnacentral:lncRNA from 1 species
UCAGAUAUUUACCUUUGUUAAUAUUGCAGAACCUAAUAACUUUACGUAUAUUGCUAACAAUGAUUUUAGAGAGUACUUUGCCUUAGUAAUUCCCAUGGAACAACUGUCGUUCACUGAGAAACAAGCACACUGUCACUCCAAUAAUGCCAUACACCGCAGCUCAAACCACAAAACACAGUAAUCCUGAAAGCAUGAUCGAUAAGUAUUAUAGGUUGUCUACAUGCAGCCAACAUCUCCUAUUUAUUGCAUAUAUUGUUAGCCUCUUGACGACAUUAUGCAUAAAUUAGAAUUCAACUAUAUUAUACUAUAUUGCUAAAAGAAUAUCCAAUGCAGAAAUGAAGGGACAGUGCGCAUCAAAAUCAGCAGGCCAACUUACAAAAGAAGCUAGAGAAGCUAUUAUCAGGAGGAAACAACAACUCCAACAAAAAAGGAGUGAGAGAUGCAGGAAUACACAGGAAACAACCGAUAAAACAGAAGAAGAUGCUUCACGGAAGAGAAAGGAACAAAUCAAAGAAAGAAAAGAUGUCAAGCGUGCAAGAACAAAUACAAGCGACAAUGAGCUUGAAAGCAACAUCAUAGAAAGAACCAGCAGCACUACGUCCGGAAGUUAUUAUAGCACGAUAUGGAACUUCCGAAAGCCAACAUAUAGAUGCGAACAUUGCAAUGCAAUACUAUGGUGUGAAGAAAGAUUAAAUUCUCAUAGAGGAACCAAAAAACCUUCUUUCGGAAUUUGCUGCAAACAAGGUAAAAUUGACCUACCAAAGAUAGCAUAUCCUCCACCUUACCUCGCAGGGCUAUUAACAGGUGAAGGAAGUGAUGAAAAAAACUUCAGAGAAAAUAUAAGGUCAUACAACUCAAUGUUCUCAUUCACAUCAAUGGGAGGAACUGUUGAUAGAGAAAUAAACAAAGGCAAAGGACUAUAUGUUUUUAGACUGCAUGGCCAGAGCUACCACCAUAUUGGAACUCUUCUACCCGAAGAAGGUAACAAACCUCGAUUUGCCCAGCUAUACAUCUAUCAGACAGAAAAUGAGGUGCAAAACAUGAUAGGUGCUUCAAGAUGCAAUGAUAAAAAAACAACGGUGGACCCUGCCAUUGUCAAGGAACUACAAGAAAUGCUUGAUGAGAACAACAUCAUUGCAAAGUCAUUCAGAAUGGCAAGAGAUAGAUUCGAAGAAGAAGACUACCACGAUUACAUGCUUCAAAUACUUGGGAAAAGGAAUGGAACACACAACCUUCCAUCUGCAUCAGAAAUUGCGGCAUUAGUUGUAAGAGACCCUACUGGAGAGAGCGAAGGACGAGACAUCGUUGUCGAGUACAAAAAUAUGGAAUCUCACAGAAUAUCGGAAAUCCAUCCGAAAUUAAUGUCAAUGCAAUACCCGUUGUUGUUUCCAUACGGAGAAGAUGGAUUCAAGCUUGAAAUACCUUACAAGGGAACAAAAGAAGGUGAAAAAAGAAGGAAAUAUGUAACUAUGCUGGACUACUAUGCAUACUACCUACAGCAAAGACCCGACCAAGGAAUGUCUUUGCUAACGUCUAGACAUCUAUCGCUUCAAUUUUGGGUGGAUGUUUACACAUGCAUUGAGCAAAACAGACUAAACUGGAUCAGGAAUAAUCAAGGGAAGCUACGAACUGAACUUUACAGUGGACUGCAGGACGCGAUUGAGCGAGGGGACACCAGGACAGAGUAGGUCGGAAAGAGGAUAGUUGUACCUUCAUCUUAUACAUGAGGUAGAAGAAACAAGGCACAAAACUUGCAAGACGCAUUUGCAAUAUGCCGUUGGGCUGGAUAUCCAGACCUAUUUAUAACAUUCACAUGCAAUGCAAAGUGUACUAAGAUUCAAUACAUGCUAGAUGAAGCAGGAGGAGGCCUCAAGCCAGCCGACCGACCAGAUAUUGUUGACCGAGUAUUCAUGAUAAAACUGAAGGAGCUAAUGAGAGAUAUCGUUGUGAAGAAAACUAUAGAAAGUAAGACCAGUCGACUACUAAUCGCUAACUAAUAGCACCUAAAGUUUCAAUUUUUAAGCACACAAUAGCCUUUAUCUAUUUAUUAAAAUGAUUCCAAAUUUUAACAAAAUAAAACUAUAUAUUCAAUCAAUGCAGUUAUCUACACAAUAGAGUUCCAGAAGAGGGGACUCCCGCAUGCACAUAUAUUGGUAUUUCUCAAGGAGAAUUACAAGUGCAAAGGACCAUCAGAAAUCAACCAAAUAAUCAGUGAGGAGAUCCCAGACAAAGAUGUCGAUCCAGACGGAUAUGAAGCUGUUGAAAACUUCAUGAUGCACGGGCCUUGCGGAGAGGCAAAUACAAAAUCACCAUGCAUGAUAGACAACAGAUGCACUAAACACUUCCCCAAACGGUACAAUAUCGAUACGACAAUCGAUGAGGAUGGCUUUCCAGUAUAUAGAAGGCGAGAAAAUGUGUCACAUCCCCAGUUCAGGCCUUGCUUGUCUUUGCAUUAGUAUCCAUGCAUCAUGUUUAAAUUUUAUGAAACUUGAAAUGGGGAUUGCCUAAACCCUAGCACCAAAUGAAUUCAACUAGGUUCAACUAAAAUAUUUUCAGUGAAUCCAAAUGGCUUUAAAAAAUGUUCAUCAUUUCUGGAAAAUGCUGGAGACAUAACCAGGGGUGUUGCACAUUUUUCCAUGACAUAUUUGGGCUCUAAAUUAAAUCUUAUAGUAUUUGCAUUUGGGCAUUUAAAUGCUAUUAAAUAUUUUAAAUGCUCAAAUAAUCAUAACUAAAAUGUUUACUGUUGGAUAUAUUCUAAACAGUAGUCAUGAUUAGUUUCAUGAUCUUUGGAAAAGCCCUGACAUUUUUAAUAAAGCCCAGAAGUUAUAGAAAAAUAGAAAAGAGGAAACAAAAGAGAGAGCGAGAGAGACUUACCUGGCUUACCUGGACGGCCCAGUAGGCAGCCCACCUGGCCGGCCCAGCCCAGCGCCGCUGCCAGUCAUCUCCCACCUCUCGCCAGUAGGACGAGAGGCGUGUGGCCGCCGUGCGCGCCCACGCGCCUCGGCCACCUCCUGCUUCCCACCGCCUCCCGACGUCGCUCUGGACGCCCUGGACGUCGACACGCAACCCCUCUGGCUCUCUCUCACUCUCCCCGUGCUCCUCCCCCUCCUCUGCUCUCUCUCCCUCUCACCACCGAACGCCACCGCCGCCGCCGUUCGCCAUAGCCGCAGUCGCAGCCAACCCCACGCCUCACCGACGCGGCCACGAGCUCCGCCUCGUCCCUCUCUUCCUCCUCACCGAGCCGCUCGACGCCGGAAGCCCCCUGGAUGCCGCAAGCACCGCCGUUCCCCUCGUCGUCCACCGGAGAUCAUCACCGUCGAUUUGCUGCCUCCGGUGCCUCCCCGAGCUCGCUGACGCUCCCGUUUGACCCACUGUGAGCUCCUCUGCCGCUCCACUCUCUCCCCGUGCUCUAUUGCGCCGUGUACCCGCCAUUUCCACCGGAGCCGAGAGCCGGCUGCCGCCGUUCUUGUCGCCGCUGGAACAAGAGCUAGAAAAGCUCGUUCCCGAGCACGGCUAUGUGCUCAGCAGCUCCGCAGCAAGCUAACGCCGCCACCAGCUUGUCUCCCCAUGCACCAUAGCGCUGCGCCGCUCGAUCCCGAGCUCCGGCAACCGCCGCGGGCUCCACUCCGGCGAGCUCCAGCCUCCCCACGACCCAGCACCUGGACCGUUCGACGCGUGGGAGCAAGAGCUUUCCAAUGCACCCAGACACGCUUCGAACGGUGGCCCGUAGAGCAAACCCGACACGGGCACAGCCGCGGUCUGUCGUCGCCGGCGGUUAAACGCCGGUGGCUGACGUGGCACCAUUAGUUUAGGUGCUAAUCGUGUUUAGUUAUUGCCUGUGUCAAUGACAUGUGGGUCCCGGAGCAUAAUUAGGUUAGUCUAAUUUUCUUUUAAGAUUAUUACUAAUACGUGUGUACCCCACGUGUCAGCUUUGACUUUGGUCAAGUCAACGUUGACUGGUCCCACCUGUCAUCCACCCAAACCAGCCUGAGACACUGACGUAUGGGUCCCACAGGUCAGGUUUGACCUGGCCGACCCAGUUGACCUGCUGACGUCACACCUAAGUCAUGCUGACGCAGUAAAUCCUUUUCUGGAUUUAUUCUUAUUCAGAAAAAUCCAAAAAUUUGCCUAAACUUCUAAAAUUCAUAGAAAAUAAUUUAUAACUCAGAAUGAAAUAAACUAUAUAUGAAAAAUGAUCAGAAAAAUCCAAUCUACCCAUCUGUACCAUUUUCAUGCAUGUUAGAACACUUUAACCUUGCUGUUUAGGUGAAACAAGGUAAUGCACUAAUAUGACCUUUUCAAAUGGGUUUGCAUUUGAAUCCUUGGUUCAAAUGGACUCAUCUCAACAUGUUCUAGCUUGCAUUAGCUUAAACCACAACAUAUUGCUAUGUCAUGAUCAUGCAUCGUAUUGUGCAUUGCAUUGAUUGUGUUUUUUCUUUGUUUGUCGGUGCUUGUCCCCUCUCAAUAAGACGUGUACCGAUGAUGUGAUCGAUGACACCAAUGAAGAGAUAUACUAUCUUCAGAAGUGCCAGGCAAGGAAACCCCCCUUGUUCAUUCCAAUAUAAUCCCACCCUCUCGCUCCUGCUCUCUUUUAAUGCAUUAGGACAACAACGAUUCAACUGUACUUGCUGCGGUAGCUGAACCCCUUUAUCCUCUGCAUGACCUGCCAUUGCCACAGUAAAUAGAUGAAACCCACUAGCAUGAGUAGGAGUUGUUUGAGCCCUGUUGUGCCUACUCAUUCAUGCUUGUUUGUCAUGCCUGCUACUGCUUAGAGUUGAGUCAGGUCUGAUUCAUCAGGGAUGAAUCAGAGGUGUGUGAACAUGUCCUACUAUGUGUGAGCUAAGUGUGUGAACACGAUUUGGUAAAUGUAGCGAUGAGAGGCCAUGUAGGAGUACAUGGUGGGUUGUCUCAUUGCAACCGUCUUCAGGAACUGAGUUCUGUGUUUGUGAUCCAUGAAACAGCUACUACCACGCAUUGGGCCCGAAACCAAUGGACCCUCUAGGCUUCUUAAUCACCCUUGUUCUCUGUCCAGGAGUUGCAACUAGUUUCUGGUGUUUGUAGGAUAUGUGUUGGAGGCCGUGGGCAGCGCUGACCCGAGGGGUGGGCUGUGAUGCGGUAGAUACACCGUGGCACGGUGUACCGGGCGCCCGUUUGGUGUCUCGGGAACCCUGCACACAUCGUUUGGGGCUGUGAGCGAAACUCCGGCCGGAUCUCCUCGCGGAUGGAACCCGAAUAGGCGAUAAACCUGGACUAGAGACUUGAGUGUUUAGGUAGGUCGUGGCCGACACCCUCGGUGGGCUUCCGCUUGAAGGUUUCCGAGUACAUGUCGUGUAAACGGCGGUAAGUGGUGAGAGUGUGUGUGAGGAAGUACACCCCUGCAGGGUUAACAUCAUCUAUUCGAAUAGCCGUGUCCGCGGAAAAGGACUUCUGGGUUGCCUGUACAGUUCAUAGACAAGUGAAAGUGGAUACUCUAAAAUACGCAAGAUAAGUGUGAGUGCUAUGGAUGGCGUUCUCGUAGGGCGAUGGGAGCGGAUCCAUAGUGGUGUAUUGAUAUGGUGAAUAUGUGGAUUCGUGUGCGCCACCUCAAAAGAGUUACUUGCAGUCGUAGUUCAGGAUAGCCACCGAGUCAAAGCUGGCUUGCUGCAGUUAAACCCCACCAUCCCCUUUGUUGAUAAUGAUGCAUAUGUAGUUAGUUCUGAUGUAAGUCUUGCUGGGUACAUUUGUACUCACGUUUGCCUAUUUUAUGUUUUUGCAGAGAGACUUCGGUCUCGCUAGUAGUUCCGCGUGGACUUCGACGUUUAGCUUGAUACCUCAGCUACGAUCUUGUGCCCUCGGCGGGAUCUGGUAGAUAGUCAGGCUUCUUAGCCUUUUUCAUUUGUAGAUGUCUGUACUCAGACAUGUUAAGCUUCCGCAUGUGCUUUGACUUGUAUGCUCUGAAUGUUGGGUCGUGAGACCCAUGUUUGUAAUAUCUUGCUCCCGGGAGCCUAUGGAAUAAAUACUUGAGUCGUAGAGUCAUGUUGUGAUGCCAUGUUGUAUUUGCACAUAUCGAGCAUAUUGUGUGUAUGUUAUUGAAAUGCUUGGUAUGUGUGGGAUCUGACUAUCUAGUUGUUUAUCCUUGGUAGCCUCUCUUACCGGGAAAUGUCUCCUAGUGUUUCCACCGAGCCAUGGUAGCUUGCUACUGCUCUGGAACACUUAGGCUGGCCGGCAUGUGUCCUUCUUCGUUCCUGUGUCUGUCCCCUCGGGGAAAUGUCACGUGAUGAAUACUAGAGUCCUGUUAGCCCGCUAUAGCCCGAUUCACCGGAGUCCUGCUAGCCCAGUGCUACAGCCUGGAUUCACUCGCUGAUGACCGACACGUUCGAUGCUGGUUCAUGGAUGCCUGUCCCUGUAAGUUUGUGCCACUUUGGGUUUACGACUAGCCAUGUCAGCCCGGACUCCUUAUCAUAUAGAUGCUAGCGACACUAUCAUAUACGUGUGCCAAAAGGCGCAAACGGUCCCUAGCAAAGGUAAGGCGAUACCCGUGGGAUUACCGUGCGUGAGGCCGCAAAGUGAUAUGAUGUGUUACAUGCUAGAUCGAUGUGGCAUUGAGUCGGGGUCCUGACAGCUUUGGUAUCAGAGCCUGACUGCCUGUAGGAUUACCAAGCCAAACUGGUCGAAGUUGAGUCUAGAAAUUCUUUAGUUAUGUAAGAGAAUUGAUUGUGGGAUGGAACGUAAGGCUCUUUUUACUCCUUAUACCUCAUGUCCUUCUGAUCUGAGUCAUCUUAUCUUUCCUGCGGGGUUAAGGAACUAGGCUUUCUCUUCUUUCUAUCAGGAUCACGUGUUACUAAUCCGUAGACUUAUAAGAUUGUUGGUUUUAAGCCUCAGUUCAGUCCCUACUACUUCCGUAUGUUAACUGUUGAUCUUGAAACCUUGAUAUUGUACUUCUGAGUGGCUAUGCCACCAUCUUUGUAGCAUGUCUCCAAUCUUUUUGAGCAUUUACAACCAUUAUGCUGUCCGAGUCAUCCCAGGUUUCUAAAUAGUCUGAUGCAUUUGCAAAUCCCUUCUUUCCGUUCCCGAUGUCCCUUUGGUCAGAUUAAUCACACAAAUUAGUGAGUUGAGGUACUUUAUUGCCUCGACACAUAUGUUGGAGUUAAUAUUAUGACCCUAGGUGUCUAGAGGAUCAUCUAGUAGUCUAGCCAUGUUUUGUAUUCCCAGUGUGAUCAUUCUGGCCGUCAUCCUCGAAAGCAUCCCGUGAUGCCACUUAGUUAGUAGGCAUUUCACUUCUGAGUUUUGAACCUGAGAUUCACCCUACUUACUUCAUGUUGAUAGUAAUUGCUAGCUCCUUUAGGAUAUUAGUAACCUUUGCGAUAGUCCUCGAGGUCCGUGGUAUAUCGUUCUUCCAAAUACCAUGAACCAUUCUUGGCAGGAGUUCUUUUGAACCAAAAGAUCACAACAAGAGUGCUCUCGAUGAGUUCUCCAUUCUAUAUUGCGACUCUGCCAGUUCUACUUUUCUGCAUGGAUUAUCCGGAAGAAACCUGUUGAACUCAUUCGACAUGCUAGUCCAUGCAUCCGCAACUCAGAAAAACAUAUGUUCCUUUGAGUUGUCCCUCUUUAGUUGUCUUCUGACCUUCGUCUAUCAAUUGAUAGUCAAGAGUAUGCGUGCGUUCGUUUAUCGAUGCCUAUUACUCUUGUGGUCCGUCAAGCCAUUCUAUUAUAGAAUGACUAGGAGAAACAAACUCCAGAACCUGAUCCAUAUCCAGGGUUGGUCAAAGAAGUUGUGCUUCGCAGAUCAAAUUGCUAAUCCAGCUUUUGUUCUGCUCUACCUUGGAGUAUUAUUAUCUUUAUAUUAAGAAUAUCAUGGGAAUUGCACACCAUCAUAUGAACUCUUGAUACAGUAAUACAUUAUUGCCAUCAUUGUUCAUUCCUCGGUUUCCAUGUUAUUGUAACCGGAAUGCCGACAAGUGAAUCAUGGUGUGUGAAAUCAAUACUGCUAGCAACUUCGUUGCUUAGUAGUUAAAUGGACGAUAACCUCAUUCUUAGCGUGUUGAUUAUUGAAUCGUCACCCUAAGAUUGAUUGUGCUACCUAGUCCCUAUUUCCGGUGCACUCUUCGGUCGUUGAGUUGGGAUUUUGCCAAUCCCUUGCUUAUUUGAUCAUCUCGUCUUGCCCUGAAAAGCAAGAUUGUUCUCGAGCUUAAUAGCAUAUCGGUGGUUCGUGAUUUUUCGAUUAUCUUCUCAGAAGUAUCACCAGGUUGUCACCUGACUGUUAUGUUGAGCUCAUGAUCAAGUUGGUUUCUUGUAAACCACCCCUUAUCCAAGAGUCUAUGUUGGGUACCCCUGAGCUGUUUGGUCAAGCUAAACAACAACUUGGAGAGUUGGAAGAUGGAAGCUUGUCCAAUUUAGUUCAUCUUAAGGGAUAUCUUGUAUCUGUGUUGAAGGUAGAUGAUAUCUUCCUUGAGUGAACCUCAUGGUAAAUUAUUGGAUCUAUUGUCUUGCCAAAACUUUGAUUUGAGUAUGGGUUAUCCUCAAAUCAAAUCAGAACCAACGAUGUUCGUAAUGUUGUCUUACUCGUGGUUGAUCCCUCGAGCAUACACCAUUAUAUCCUUUGGUCUGACCAAUGCUAUCACCAUGUUCAUUUAAUUAUGGAAUUCCAUUUAUAUGGAAACCUGGAUGAAUUGUUGUUGAGCCCAUCGACAACAUCCUUGUCUUCUCCAUGAUUUUUGUUGAACAUUAAGCUAGUGUUGGAAACUUUUGAAAGCAUUUCUUCAUGUUAGUUCAUGAAGCAUAUGCCCGGAAGAAAGAAGUGAUUUCCUCUAACUCAUGUGCAGUUGAUGCAAGUUGUCGCCAUGACUUCGAGAAAGUCAAUGUUGCUUCUUUUGGAAUCAUCCCAAAUCGGUCAUGCAUACGUGUGAAGUAUUCUGUGGUUCGGAGAUUUGCAACCUUCAUUCUAUAUGUAUUCCUAGCACACCAAGCCACUGAUUGAUUUGUUCAAGGAGAAGAAAUUCCUUCUUAAGAGUAUACCUUAUGCAAGGACUUUGAUAUCCUCGAUGAUGAUUCCCCUCCUGAACUCGGUAGUGUUUUAUUAUAAGACUACUUUGUGGUCAUGCUUGUCUUGGACAACAUGUUCACAUGUUGUAGCAGAACCGGCUCGUGUUUUUGGAGCUUGCUAUCAUAGUUCAUUCCCCGAGAAUCUCGCAACGUCGUCUCGUUGAUUUGUGUUGCAAACUUUCAUUUUUCUUUCUGGACUUGAUGAGUAUGGAAUGUCCUGACACCAACCAGAUCUGAAUCUCAGGCAGAUAUGAUGGUUGGAACAUUUCCGACAUUUGCAUUUUGUUCCCAGCUUGCACCGCCUUGUGCCAAUCUCCCUUGGAUCGCCCUUCUCAGCAAUUGUUGUUUAGGAUCAUCUUCACAGGUGGUCCUACCAUGGGUCCCAUUCAUUUUCGAUAAUAAGCAAAAUCAUCCCUUGUGUUGUCUUCAACAAGGUAAUCCACAUCAUCCAUUCUGGCCCGAGAAUGUCAUUCUUUCGGACUCCUUCAAAUGAUCGAUUGUGAUUUUCUUUAGGCUGGUAUAAAGAGUUUCAAUGAUCUCUGAAUCAAAGGUAAUUCUUUUUGCCACUUAAGGGGAUAUAUCUACAAGUCACCAUCCCUAAGGUGUCUUGUUGUGGUAUCAUGGCAACUCAACUCCUUGCUGCGUUGACAACCGAUUACCACCUUCUUAAGUGCGGAAAUGUUGUCUACCUAGUGAUCCUUCGACAUCUGUUCCACUCCAUUUCUUUGGAUGAAUGCUUCGUCUCUCAGCUCGAGAGAUGUUGCUAUGUCUCAUUCCGUGAGUUAAUCCUGAGUUGUUCGAUCUUUGAGAAGAUCGACCCUUCUAGAGUCUCCUUCUUCUCUUCAUGUCAUGUUGGCAGGAGUUCCCAGAGCAAGACUUCAAGACAAUGAUGAUGAUCGGAUCAACGUUCUUUGAAGUGCCACCUGGAUCGUGAAGAUUAUGUUAGCUUGCGAUCCCCCUUCAUCUUACCCUACGCUUGAAUCUCGGGACGAGAUUCUUGUUUAGUGGGGGUGAGUUGUCACAUCCCCAGUUCAGGCCUUGCUUGUCUUUGCAUUAGUAUCCAUGCAUCAUGUUUAAAUUUUAUGAAACUUGAAAUGGGGAUUGACUAAACCCUAGCACCAAAUGAAUUCAACUAGGUUCAACUAAAAUAUUUUCAGUGAAUCCAAAUGGCUUUAAAAAAUGUUCAUCAUUUCUGGAAACUGCUGGAGACAUAACCAGGGGUGUUGCACAUUUUUCCAUGACAUAUUUGGGCUCUGAAUUAAAUCUUAUAGUAUUUGCAUUUGGGCAUUUAAAUGCUACUAAAUAUUUUAAAUGCUCAAAUAAUCAUAAACUAAAAUGUUUACUGUUGGAUAUAUUGCAAACAGUAGUCAUGAUUAGUUUCAUGAUUUUUGGAAAAGCCCUGACAUUUUUAAUAAAGCCCAGAAGUUACAGAAAAAUACAAAAGAGGAAACAAAAGAGAGAGAGAGAGACUUACCUGGCUUACCUGGACGGCCCAGUAGGCAGCCCACCUGGCCGGCCCAGCCCAGCGCCGCUGCCAGUCAUCUCCCACCUCUCGCCAGUAGGACGAGAGGCGUGUGGCCACCGUGCGCGCCCACGCGCCUCGGCCACCUCCUGCUUCCCACCGCCUCCCGACGUCGCUCUGGACGCACUGGACGUCGACACGCAACCCCUCUGGCUCUCUCUCACUCUCCCCGUGCUCCUCCCCCUCCUCUGCUCUCUCUCCCUCUCACCACCGAAUGCCACCGCCGCUGCCGUUCGCCAUAGCCGCAGCCACAGCCAACCCCACGCCUCACCGACGCGGCCACGAGUUCCGCCUCGUCCCUCUCUUCCUCCUCACCGAGCCGCUCGACGCCGGAAGCCCCCUGGAUGCCGCAAGCACCGCCGUUCCCCUCGUCGUCCACCGGAGAUCGUCGCCGUUGAUUUGCUGCCUCCGGUGCCUCCCCGAGCUCGCUGCCGCUCCCGUUUGACCCACUGUGAGCUCCUCUGCCGCUCCACUCUCUCCCCGUGCUCUAUUUCGCCGUGUACCCGCCGUUUCCACCGGAGCCGAGAGCCGGCCGCCGCCGUUCUUGUCGCCGCUGGAACAAGAGCUAGCAAAGCUCGUUCUCGAGCACGGCUACGUGCUCAGCAGCUCUGCAGCAAGCUAACGCCGCCACCAGCUUGUCUCCCCGUGUACCAUAGCGCUGUGCCGCUUGAUCCCGAGCUCCGGCAACCGCCGCGGGCUCCACUCCGGCGAGCUCUAGCCUCCCCACGACCCAGCACCUGCACUGUUCGACGCGCGGGAGCAAGAGCUUUCCAACGCACCCAGACACGCUUCGAACGGUGGCCCGUAGAGCAAACCCGACGCGGGCACAGCCGCGGUCUGUCGUUGCCGGCGGUUAAACGCCGGUGGCUGACGUGGCACCAUUAGUUUAGGUGCUAAUCGUGUUUAGUUAUUGCCUGUGUCAAUGACAUGUGGGUCCCGGAGCAUAAUUAGAUUAGUCUAAUUUUCUUUUAAGAUUAUUACUAAUACGUGUGUACCCCACGUGUCAGCUUUGACUUUGGUCAAGUCAACGUUGACUGGUCCCACCUGUCAUCCACCCAAACCAGCCUGAGACACUGACGUAUGGGUCCCACAGGUCAGGUUUGACCUGGCCGACCCAGUUGACCUGCUGAUGUCACACCUACGUCAUGCUGACGCAGUAAAUCCUUUUCUGGAUUUAUUCUUAUUCAGAAAAAUCCAGAAAUUUGCCUAAACUUCUAAAAUUCAUAGAAAAUAAUCUAUAACUCUGAAUGAAAUAAAUUAUAUAUGAAAAAUGAUCAGAAAAAUCCAAUCUAUCCAUCUGUACCAUUUUCAUGCAUGUUAGAACACUUUAACCUUAUUGUUUAGGUGAAACAAGGUAAUGCACUAAUAUGACCUUUUCAAAUGGGUUUGCAUUUGAAUCCUUGGUUCAAAUGGACUCAUCUCAACCUGUUCUAGCUUGCAUUAGCUUAAACCACAGCAUAUUGCCAUGUCAUGAUCAUGCAUCAUAUUGUGCAUUGCAUUGAUUGUGUUUUUUCUUUGUUUGUUGGUGCUUGUCGCCUCUCAAUAAGACGUGUACCGACGAUGUGAUCGAUGACACCAAUGAAGAGAUAUACUAUCUUCAGAAGUGCCAGGCAAGCCAAACCCCCUUGUUCAUUCCGAUAUAAUCCCACCCUCUCGCUCCUGCUCUCUUUUAAUGCAUUAGGACAACAACGAUUCAACUGUACUUGCUGCGGUAGAUGAACCCCUUUAUCCUCUGCAUGACCUGUCAUUGCCACAGUAAAUAGAUGAAACCCACUAGCAUGAGUAGGAGUUGUUUGAGCCCUGUUGUGCCUACUCAUUCAUGCUUGUUUGUCAUGCCUGCUACUACUUAGAGUUGAGUCAGGUCUGAUUCAUCAGGGAUGAAUCAGAGGUGUGUGAACAUGUCCUACUGUGUGUGAGCUAAGUGUGUGAACACGAUAAGGUAAAGGUAGUAGUGAGAGGCCAUGUAGGAGUACAUGGUGGGUUGUCUCAUUGCAACCGUCCUCAGGAACCGAGUUCUGUGUUUGUGAUCCAUGAAACAGCCACUACCACGCAUUGGGCCCGAAACCAAUGGACCCUCUCUGCUUCUUAAUCACCCUUGUUCUCUGUCCAGGAGUUGCAACUAGUUUCUGGUGUUUGUAGGAUAUGUGUUGGAGGCCGUGGGCAGCGCUGACCCGAGGGUGGGCUGUGAUGCGGUAGAUACACCAUGGCACGGUGUACCGGGCACCCGUUUGGUGUCUCGGGAACCCUGCACACAUCGUUUGGGGCUGUGAGUGAAACUCCGGCCGGAUCUCCUCGCAGAUGGAACCCGAAUAGGCGAUAAACCUGGAGUAGAGACUUGAGUGUUUAGGUAGGUCAUGGCCGAUACCCUCGUUGGGCUUCCGCUUGAAGGUUGCCGAGUACAUGUCGUGUAAACGGUGGUAAGUGGUGAGAGCGUGUGUGAGGAAGUACACCCCUGCAGGGUUAACAUCAUUUAUUCGAAUAGCCAUGUCCGCGGAAAAGGACAUCUGGGUUGCCUGUACAGUUCAUAGACAAGUGAAAGUGGAUACUCUAAAAAAUGCAAGAUAAGUGUGAGUGCUAUGGAUGGCGUUCUCGUAGGGCGACGGGAGCGGAUCCAUAGAGGUGUAUUGAUAUGGUGAAUAUGUGGACUCAUGUGCGCCACCUCAAAAGAGUUACUUGCAGUCGUAGUUCAGGAUAGCCACCGAGUCAAAGCUGGCUUGCUGCAGUUAAACCCCACCAUCCCCUUUGUUGAUAAUGAUGCAUAUGUAGUUAAUUCUGAUGUAAGUCUUGCUGGGUACAUUUGUACUCACGUUUGCCUAUUUUAUGUUUUUGCAGAGAGACUUCGGUCUCGCUAGUAGUUCCGCAUGGACUUCGACGUUUAGCUUGAUACCUCAGCUACGAUCUUGUGCCCUCGGCAGGAUCUGGUAGAUAGUCAGACUUCUUAGCCUUUUUCAUUUGUAAAUGUCUGUACUCAGACAUGUUAAGCUUCCGCAUGUGCUUUGACUUGUAUGCUCUGAAUGUUGGGUCGUGAGACCCAUGUUUGUAAUAUCUCGCUCCCCGAAACCUAUGGAAUAAAUACUUGAGGCGUAGAGUCAUGUUGUGAUGCCAUGUUGUAUUUUCACAUAUCAAGCAUAUUGUGUGUAUGUUAUUGAAAUGCUUGGUAUGUGUGGGAUCUGACUAUCUAGUUGUUUAUCCUUGGUAGCCUCUCUUACCGGGAAAUGUCUCCUAGUGUUUCCACCGAGCCAUGGUAGCUUGCUACUGCUCUGGAACACUUAGGCUGGCCGGCAUGUGUCCUUCUUCGUUCCUGUGUCUGUCCCCUCGGGGAAAUGUCACGCGAUGAAUACCGGAGUCCUGUUAGCCCGCUACAGCCCGGUGCACCGGAGUCCUGCUAGCCCAGUGCUACAGCCUGGAUUCACUUGCUGAUGACCGACACGUUCGAUGCUGGGUCAUGAAUGCCUGUCCCUGUAAGUUUGUGCCACUUUGGGUUUACGACUAGCCAUGUCAGCCCGGACUCCUUAUCAUAUAGAUGCUAGCGACACUAUCAUAUACGUGUGCCAAAAGGCGCAAACGGUCCCGGGCAAAGGUAAGGCGACACCCGUGGGAUUACCGUGCGUGAGGCCGCAAAGUGAUAUGAUGUGUUACAUGCUAGAUCGAUGUGGCAUUGAGUCGGGGUCCUGACACAAUGGAAGGAAUAUAAAAAGGGAGGAGCAAUGCUCGAUAACAGAUUUGUUGUGCCAUACAACAGAAACCUUUUGGUCAAAUUCCAAGCUCACAUAAAUGUGGAGUGGUGCAACAGGUCCAGGUCAAUCAAGUACCUAUUUAAGUACAUCCAUAAAGAUGACGACCAAGUAACAACCUUACUAAAGGAAAGGGACGCGAUAGACGACUAUGAUGAAAUCAAGAAAUACCUAGAGAUGAGAUACAUAUCAACAACCGAAGCAUGCUAGCGGAUAUUCCAGUUUGAUCUACACCAUCGUGAUCCACCA